UACGUAGGGUGCUAGCGUUGUCCGGAUUUAUUGGGCGUAAAGGGCUCGUAGGCGGCGUGUCGCGUCGGGGAGUGAAAGCCCGCUGCUUAACGGCGGGUUGGCUUCCGGUACGGGCAUCGCUGGAGUGCGGCAGGGGAGACUGGAAUUCCUGGUGUAGCGGUGGAAUGCGCAGAUAUCAGGAGGAACACCGGUGGCGAAGGCGGGUCUCUGGGCCGGUACUGACGCUGAGGAGCGAAAGCGUGGGGAGCGAACAGG
rnacentral:rRNA from 1 species